CCUUACUGCUCAGUAACACGUAGUCAACCUGCCCUCGGGAUGAGAACAAUCUCGGGAAACUGAGGCUAAUUCUCGAUAGGUCAAGAUUCCUGGAAUGGGUUUUGGCUUAAAGGGGAUAACAGCAUCUUGUUAUUUCGCCCGAGGAUGGGACUGCGGCCGAUCAGGCUGUUGGUGAGGUAAAGGCUCACCAAACCAGUAACCGGUACGGGCUUUGAGAGAAGGAGCCCGGAGAUGGACACUGAGACAAGGGUCCAGGUCCUACGGGGCGCAGCAGGCGCGAAACCUUCGCAAUGUGCGAAAGCACGACGAGGUUAUUCCGAGUGAUUUCCGCUGAGGAAAUCUUUUCUCAGAUCUAAAAUGUCUGGGGAAUAAGGGGAGGGCAAGUCUGGUGUCAGCCGCCGCGGUAAUACCAGCUCCUCGAGUGGUCAGGGCGUUUAUUGGGCCUAAAGCAUCCGUAGCCGGCUCAGUUGGUCUCCUGUUAAAUCCAACGGCUCAACCGUUGGUCUGCAGGAGAUACCGCUGGGCUAGGAGGCGGGAGAGGCGGACGGUACUCCGAGGGUAGGGGUAAAAUCCUUUGAUCCCCGGAAGACCACCAGUGGCGAAGGCGGUCCGCCAGAACGCGCUCGACGGUGAGGGAUGAAAGCUGGGGAGCGAACCGGAUUAGAUAGGCAGUUGCAGGAAAAUAUGAAAUUUCUUAGCUGCCCUAAAUACCCGGGUAGUCCCAGCCGUAAACGAUGCGAGCUAGGUGACACAACGCCUUCGGGGCGUUGUGGUGCCGCAGGGAAGCCGUUAAGCUCGCCGCCUGGGGAGUACGGACGCAAGUCUGAAACUUAAAGGAAUUGGCGGGGGAGCACAAGG
rnacentral:rRNA from 1 species